UACGUAGGGGGCGAGCGUUAUCCGGAAUCACUGGGCGUAAAGGGUGCGUAGGCGGCCAGGCAAGCCAGAGGUUAAAGGCUACGGCUUAACCGUAGUAAGCCUUUGGAACUGUAUGGCUUGAGUGCAGGAGAGGAGAGUGGAAUUCCUAGUGUAGCGGUGAAAUGCGUAGAUAUUAGGAGGAACACCAGUGGCGAAGGCGACUCUCUGGACUGCAACUGACGCUGAGGCACGAAAGCGUGGGGAGCGAACAGG
rnacentral:rRNA from 1 species